rnacentral:rRNA from 1 species
UACGUAGGGUGCAAGCGUUGUCCGGAAUUAUUGGGCGUAAAGAGCUCGUAGGUGGCUUGUCGCGUCGGGUGUGAAAGCUUGGGGCUUAACUCCAGGUCUGCAUUCGAUACGGGCUGGCUAGAGGUAGGUAGGGGAGAACGGAAUUCCUGGUGUAGCGGUGAAAUGCGCAGAUAUCAGGAGGAACACCGAUGGCGAAGGCAGGUCUCUGGGCAUUAACUGACGCUGAGGAGCGAAAGCAUGGGGAGCGAACAGG